rnacentral:snoRNA from 1 species
UUCUUUUUUAUGAUGACGCAUAGUUCAUAUGACCUAACCGUGACAACUUAACUGAAAAUGGUCUUUCACCCCUAACUGACAAUAGAA